rnacentral:rRNA from 1 species
GUCUAUGACCAUACCACCCUGAAUGUGCUUGAUCUCAUCUGAUCUCAUGAAGCUAAGCAGGGUGGGACCUGGUUAUACUUGGAUGGGAGACUGUCGCAAAUAAGGUGCUGAUGGCU